rnacentral:rRNA from 1 species
GACGAACGCUGGCGGCGUGCUUAACACAUGCAAGUCGAACGAAGAGCGAUGGAAGCUUUCUUCUAUCAAUCUUAGUGGCGAACGGGUGAGUAACGCGUAAUCAACCUGCCCUUCAGAGGGGGACAACAGUUGGAAACGACUGCUAAUACCGCAUACGAUCUAAUCUCGGCAUCGAGGAUAGAUGAAAGGUGGCCUCUACAUGUAAGCUAUCACUGAAGGAGGGGAUUGCGUCUGAUUAGCUAGUUGGAGGGGUAACGGCCCACCAAGGCGAUGAUCAGUAGCCGGUCUGAGAGGAUGAACGGCCACAAUGGGACUGAGAAACGGCCCAGACUCCUACGGGAGGCAGCAGUGGGGAAUCUUCCGAAAUGGACGAAAGUCUGACGGAGCAACGCCGCGGGAGGGAUGACGGCCUUCGGGUUGGAAAGCUCUGUUAAUCGGGACGAAAGGCCUUCUUGCGAAUAGUGAGAAGGAUUGACGGUACCGGAAUAGAAAGCAACGGCUAACUACGUG